GACGAACGCUGGCGGCGUGCUUAACACAUGCAAGUCGAACGGAAAGGCCCUGCUUUUGUGGGGUGCUCGAGUGGCGAACGGGUGAGUAACCCGUGAGUAACCUGCCUUUGACUUUGGGAUAACUUCAGGCAACUGGGGCUAAUACCUGAUAGGAGCUCCUGCUGCAUGGUGGGGGUUGGAACGUUUCGGCGGUUGGGGAUGGACUCGCGGCUUAUCAGCUUGUUGGUGGGGUAGUGGCUUACCAAGGCUUUGACGGGUAGCCGGCCUGAGAGGGUGACCGGCCACAUUGGGACUGAGAUACGGCCCAGACUCCUACGGGAGGCAGCAGUGGGGAAUAUUGCACAAUGGGCGGAAGCCUGAUGCAGCAACGCCGCGUGCGGGAUGACGGCCUUCGGGUUGUAAACCGCUUUCGCCUGUGACGAAGCGUGAGUGACGGUAAUGGGUAAAGAAGCACCGGCUAACUACGUG
rnacentral:rRNA from 1 species